GCUAGCGGCGCGCUUAAUGCAUGCAAGUCGAGCGAUGAGGCUCCUUCGGGGGUACAUCAGCGGCAGACGGGUGAGUAACACGUAGGUGACCUACCCUCGAGACGGGGAUAACGGCUGGAAACAGUCGCUAAUACCCGAUAGACUUACCAGGUCAAAGCGGUAAGAAAAGCUACGGUGCUUGAGGAGGGGCCUGCGGCCCAUCAGCUAGUUGGUAGGGUAACGGCCUACCAAGGCGAAGACGGGUAGGGGGUGUGAGAGCACGAGCCCCCACAAUGGGACUGCGACACGGCCCAUACUCCUACGGGAGGCAGCAGCAGGGAAUAUUGCACAAUGGACGGAAGUCUGAUGCAGCGACGCCGCGUGAGUGAAGACGGCCUUCGGGUUGUAAAGCUCUUUUACGGGGGACGAGGAAGGACGGUACCCUGGGAAGAAGUGUCGGCUAACUACGUGCCAGCAGCCGCGGUAAGACGUAGGACACAAGCGUUAUCCGGAGUUACUGGGCGUAAAGCGCCUGCAGGCGGCCUGGUAAGUUGGACGUGAAAGCCCCGUGCUUAACGCGGGGAGGUCGGACAAUACUGCCAAGCUAGAGUGCGUCAGAGGGGAGUGGAAUUUCCGGAGUAGCGGUAAAAUGCGCAGAUAUCGGAAGGAACACCAGUGGCGAAAGCGACUCCCUGGGGCGCGACUGACGCUAAGAGGCGAAAGCUAGGGGAGCGAACAGGAUUAGAGACCCUGGUAGUCCUAGCCCUAAACGAUGGAUGCUAGGUGUGGGACGUAAAGUUCCGUGCCGGAGCCAACGCGAU
rnacentral:rRNA from 1 species